rnacentral:rRNA from 1 species
GACGAACGCUGGCGGCGUGGAUUAGGCAUGCAAGUCGAACGGUGACGAGGAGCUUGCUCCUCUGAUCAGUGGCGAACGGGUGAGUAACACGUGAGCAACCUGCCCCAGACUCUGGGAUAACAGUUGGAAACAGCUGCUAAUACCGGAUACGAGACGGAGAGGCAUCUCUACCGUCUGGAAAGUUUUUCGGUCUGGGAUGGACUCGCGGCCUAUCAGCUAGUUGGUGAGGUAAUGGCUCACCAAGGCGACGACGGGUAGCCGGCCUGAGAGGAUGGUCGGCCACACUGGGACUGAGACACGGCCCAGACUCCUACGGGAGGCAGCAGUUGGGAAUCUUGGGCAAUGGGCGAAAGCCUGACCCAGCGACGCCGCGUGAGGGAAGAAGGCCUUCGGGUUGUAAACCUCUGUCAUGGGGGAAGAAGGAAGUGACGGUACCCCAAGAGGAAGCCCCUGCUAACUACGUG